CUCAUAUCUAAUGCCGUGAAUUAAGUGUACUUUUUUAACAUUUUUUUUUCUUUUACAUUAUUUUCCUUUUGCCUAUUAUUAGUUGCCCGGUGACAGCUUUUGUUCCCUUUCUAUAUUGUAUUUUUCAUGUUUCUGUAUUCAUUUUAUUUUUUCUUACUGUUCCGUUCUGUGUAUUAUAUUCACCAUAUUUAUUUGCAUACUUCUUGGCAGAUAUGUACCUACUGUUGCAUGACUAAUGGUGUUUUAUAUACCAUAGCGCUACAGCUGUCAGUUUACAGCUGUUUCAUGCCUGAUUCAAGGACAUGAUUCAAGCAUAUCAUUAAUUUCAUGUUGUGUUGUGUUUGUUUUAACUCUGUCUUUAUUCUGUUAUAUAUGCAGGAGUGGGUUUAUUAAAUGAAUACUGAAGUCCCAUAUGAUCUCAUAUACCUUGCACUGGCUUUGUUGCAUAACGCUCCCUCUCUCCCUACAUCCUAUGUAGAUACAGUUAACUGUAGAAAUGACAGUAUGUCCACAUCCCACGCUGUGACAUUACUGGUGAAGCAACGCAGUACAACUCCUUACUGACUUGUAUAAGUAUGUAUAAUAUUGUAUAAGUAACUUCAAUGAUCUCAUACUAUUUUGUACAUGCAUAAUAACACAAUCGCAUGUAUGUUUGACAUUUAGUAACGUCAUUCAAUACAAAAAGUAGACUUCAGGAAGUUACACAGCAGCUGCUAAUAAUUUCC